GGCAACAUUGUAUACAAAAUUGGGAACUACUGGACAUUCUUAUCAAUAUUAAAUAUCGCCAGCCGGCAGCGGAACAUAUUUAUUAUGUGUACGUCCAUCGUAUGUUAAAAUGAAAUGUUUUUCCCUUCGAUGGUAGGGGUAAUGUCAAACGCGACUACUCAUGUUUAACGACCGAGUCAGCGAUCCAGUAUAAUAUUAAUUAUUAAUUAUUCUCCGUUUUAAUGAUUGUGCCCAAUAAGCUAUCAAUCUGGUUGAUUUAAAUUUUUUGACAUUUUAUAUUUUUAAAUAGCAAUCGUUUUGAGAAAGAACUGUUUUGUUGAUCGGUUACCGUGCACCCUAUUGUUUUUCAUCUUUUUGGUUUUUAUAGUACUAUUUCAGUCGUGAAUCGUGAGUCGCCGUCCAUCCGUUAUUAACUGUUCUGUAAUCAGCUGAAAAAUGGCCCAAAAUUUCCAAAGCAAUCCAUUGGUCAGUGUUGAAUCGGUAAAUAUUAUCCUAAAUAUUAUUAGGUACUUUCGUAAUAAUAAUAUUGACAAAUACUCGGUGACCAGCCGAGUAAUAAUAAAAGAGGCUAAAUCCGUUUGACGUACACAGUUUUUACAAUAAUUUUUCAAGUCAUACUAAAACCAUUAUUGGUGUGUUUUCAGCCACAUUCGUUGUAUUAAAUAUUAAUGUCUUAUUUUGUAAAAAAAAAAUAUACUGUACCUACUUCUAUUUGUUAUGAGUCUCAGUAUGAUAGAAAUUGCUAAUAUUUAGAUAUCCAUAUUAAUUUUUGUUAAAAUUUUUUGUUCAUUUUUUCUGAAAAGAAAUCAGAUUGGGCGGUAGCGGUAUUACAUAGAGAUUAUUUUUUUGAUUUUUCUUGGGAUUUUCUGGAUAAAUAAGAAAAAACAUAGGAAAAAUUGAAUGAAAUAUUUUUAAAAAAAAAUACAUAAUGCAUAUGAAAUUAUUUUAUUAUAAUAUGAUAUAAAUAUUAUUGACAAAGCAACAAUAUUAACCGAACUCCGCUCAGAAUCAUUUUUUGUUAGCAAUGAUUAAUUGUUACAUGCAGAUAUACCCUCUACAACUUCCCAAUUUCUCGCCUACACCAGUGGCCGACCCAUAUGCAAAGUAUAUUUGUCUAGUAUAUUUAUUUAUAUUUCGAUUGUAAUAACAUUAUGUGAUAAAAGUUCUUCAUACUUAUGAAUGAUGUUUUACACACAAUUAUUUAUCUUGCUUUCAUUUAUUGUGUUUUCAAUUGAAGAUAUGAUUAUAUAGAACAGGUUUAAUAGAUUGAUUUAGUGAAUUUUUGAUAUCCAGGUCUAUUGAAAAUAUUUUACGAGCAGUAUUCGGUUUACUGUGCAACUCGAGAUGUCACAGUAGUCAAACUUGCAUAAAUAAAUAUUUUUGUAAUUUAAAUAUACCUAAUAUAUGAUAACAGUUUAAAAUUUGUAUUUAUAUAUAACUAAUAUUAUAGUAGGUACCUAUAAAUUUUUGUAUAAAUAUGUAAUAAUAAAAUUAAUUUGUAUAACAAAAAUAUAAAAUUUAAAUCUUUACCUAUAUCGAUAUAUUAUAAUAAUUUAAACAUUUAAACAUAAUUGAUAAUAAAAAACAUAUUUAAUUUUGGACAUUUACUGAUAGAAAUCCUCGGUUUCACUGGUAUUCAAAAUUUUAAUGUGACAUAUUACAUAUUUUAAAUUUCACUGAAAUGAAAGAAAAAAAUGUAGUUAUUUGCUCUGAACUCUUAGAAUUUAAAAAAUUCUUAAGUAUCUAUUAGUGUUUAAUAUUUUUCUGUUUAUAACAGUUAAUAAUUAGUUUCUUAUAUAACUAUAAUUUUACCAGACAAUUAGUUUAGUUAUCCAGAUGUAAAAAUAAAAACAACAAAAUUCUAACAUUUUCCAUCCCUGAAAUUGUAUUAGUUAUUAUAUUUCUGAUAUAAAUUGUUGACAUUUUAUAUUAAUUUAUUAUAUCCAUUUUCUAUGUUUAAAUAUUGGAAUUAUUAAUUAUUAUUUUUGUUUUAGCAAAAGCAGCUUACAAUAGAGCAGUAUACAUUAGUAGACAAAAUACUUACGCUGGACAAAUUUAACUAAAUUAACCACAAUAUACACCCUACCAAGUAAUUAAAUUUAUUAGUAUAUAUCAUAACAUGAGUUCAUUAGGUUUUAUUACAAAUAAUUAGUAUUUACAAUUUACAUUAAGAGGUACUUAGCAAUUCUUAUUAUGUAAAAUAAUGUUUAUUUUUGUUAAUCUGUAUGGAUAUCAUAAGUAUUGGAUUAGAAAUUUGAAUAUUUUACUUAUUUUGUGUGUGAAGUCUAUUUUCACUAUAUUUAUUUUAUUUUAUUAACACCAAAUAGCAUUAUAUAAAGAAUAAGUGAAAAUACAUAAAUUAUGGUGAAAUGAUAACAAUACAAAUUUAUUUUUGACAGAAUUAAAACUAAGAUCAUUACAUGCAAAAAGUGAAUAAAACAGUAUAUUAACAAACAAUAUAAAAGCAAAUAUAUACAAAAUAAACUAGGUGGCUUUAUUGGUACGGCGAAGUAUGCGGUGUAAAGGAUGGUUGUGAUUGUAGGAGGUGGAGUAGGUAGGGAUAUUAAAGGGUGUAUGAUAUUUUGAGGGGUAAGUAGGAACAAGGAAAUUAACAGAGGAAAGGUGGUCUGGGGCAUCUAUUUUUAACGGGCCUAAUGUAACGAUGUUGUCUUAGAAAAAAAACUUGAUAAAAAUAAAUAAACUCCAACUUGAGUGUUAUAAAUAAAUAAUAUUUCCAUAUAAAAUAUUACAAUAAACUGUGUUCAAUUAAUUCAAACAACACAAAUACACAAGUUUAAUAAAUAAAUUCACAAAAAUAAUACAAGUCCAAAUAACAAUAAAUAGAGUAAUGCGAAAUUGGUCACAUUUGAUUGUGGUAGACUCGUCUGAUUUGACAAUGUUAUAUAUUCUAAUGCUUAUUUAUAGUGGCUGCUAUCUAUAUUUUAUUGCUGGCACCGGCUAAUACCAAAAAUUAUAUUAUAUUAUGUUACAACCCAGGCCCACUCAUUUUAUUUUUAUAUGUAUUUUUUUUUUAUUAAAUUUAGAAUAUGGCUGGUGUAGGUUCGUGUGCCGAAACUAUAUUUGGGUGCUGUGUAUUUUUACAUGCCUACUGGUAGGUAUUCGGUUCCAUAUGUGGUGAUUAGCACCAUAUACAGCCUGCCUCUUGCUGGGGGCACGUGUGGGCACAUAACAUAUUGAAUCAUCAAGUAGACUUUGAAUAAAACAAAAAUCAGUAUCAAUUUGUUGAAAAGAAAGCGUGGAGAUCUUUAGUUUUAAAAGUAUAGUAGUAGUUAUGUUGUGGAUGCACAAUUUUAAGUAGGGAAUAGAUAUAUGAAAGAAACCUAUUCUGGACUGUCUCUAGUCUUAACUGGUCUUUCACUAAAUGAGAGUGUCAAACUAUUAUACAGUACUCUAAAAUUGGGUGUACAAGGAAUAGGUUAAGUGUACAAAGACAGUGGACAGAGCUAAAUAUUUUAGUGUUACGUUUUAAGAAACCCAGGACUUUCAGUGCUUUGCAGACAGUAACAUUAAUGUGGUGGUUUUUUAAAUUUAAAUUCCUCAGGUAUUAUAUGUAAGUUCCUACAUAUUUCAAUAAUAAUUAAAUUAUUUGUAUAAUUUGUAAUAAAGUUUGAGAUGAACAAUCACGCAAUAUUUCAUAGUUUACUUAAAAGGAUGCAUAUUAAACAUUAAAUAAAAAUAAUACUAUUCUUAAAAAAUAUUGAGAAUUAACAAAUACCUACCUACCUUCAAAAAAAUAAAACCUUACUAGAUACCUAUCUAUGACAAAAUAAUUUUAUUUUUAGAUUUAUUUAAGAUAAAAAUAACCAAAAAACAAUUAAGUACAUUACCUAUACUGUAUAGGUAGCCAGGUAGGUAACCUUUACAUGACAGCACAAAACAAUUUUUUGACAUGGUUUAAUACAAAAAAAAAACUUGCAACAUGUAUUCAUGUAAUUAUAUGGUAUAACAUUUAUUAAUUAUUAAUAAAAUAAUGAACAUAUAAUACAAAAACCGUAAAAUGUCCUAUAGCACUUGUAUAAAAUGAGCAUGACUAAUGUUUGUAGCACACUGUUGGAAGUUACAAAUUUGGGACAUUUUUUAUCUGUCCAGCUGUAAUCGGUGUUCUUACUCUAAUGUUCUUGUCUAUGAGAUAUAUCUGGUUGUUAUCUCGUGAUGCUGAACCACACAAUGUCUGUCUUAGAAAUAUGUUGGUAGUCGAGAUAAGAGGAAAGUACCCUAGUUUAAAUUUAAUAUGAACUUUGUGAAGGUAAAUAAUAUCUAAUGUUUUGUAAAUGUAAAAUGUACAUUUUUUAGGGAUAGAUAUGCACUUUAUGCAAAAAGUUUGUUGUAUUAAAUACUUCACACAACUGUACUGAUGAUACAAAAUUAUAAACUAGUAUUAGUACUAGUAAGUUGUACUAUUGAUUUUAAAGUUAAUACCUACUAGUAGAACAUAAUUGGUUAUUUUUUAACAGAUAUAUUUAUAUUCUAGAAUAAUUUUUUAAUCAAAUAUAUUCUGGGACUAUUAACUAAUUUAAUACAUUGGUAUUAUGUAUUUUGAUAUAUAUUAUAUGUUUAAUAUCUAAGUACUUUAAUUUAAUGUGUGUUGAUUAAAUUAAUAAAGAAACUAAUUUGUCUAAACAUUUUAUUUUUUUAGAUCUCCAAACGUCUUGCAUCCUAUAAGUAAUCAUAUUAAACAAGGCAAAAUUAUUAUAAAUAUGGCUAAAGGUACGAUUACCUAGGCGUGACUGGUCACUGAGACCAGUCUCCAGUGGCUUAAAGAAAACCAUACACAAUUCAGUUAUUAUUUGCUCGCUCCAUCAUUGUAGAUAUUCAAUAAUUGUGCAUGUUACAAUAUAGUAUAUGUGUCAUAUAUAUAUAUAUAUGUCAUAUUAUUAGUACAUAUUAUGCAGUUGCAGUACUUGGAAACCUAACUAGGUGCUAUUGAUUUAUAUGUUUGAUAGGGUAAGUUAAUUAAAUUUUCUAUUAUAGUUAAUUAGUUAAAUUAAAAUACUAAAAAAAAAAAAAUGCUAUGAGAAAGUUAUACAUGUUUUAAAAGGGCGUAAUAUUUAUGAAUUAAAAAUAAUUUUGUAAAUCUUUCCGUUUUUCUUCUUUUUUGCUAAAAGAAUUAUUUAAAAUUUUAGAAUGCUGAUUGUCAAUAUUUUUCGGCGAGAAUUACAUUUAUUACUUACAAGCAUAAUAAAAAAUGAUGAUCGUGCUAACUUUCUUUUCUCAUAUAUAAAAUCAAAGUUAUUUACAGAUGCUCCUGAAAAGUCGCGGUGUCGUCAAAAAGUCAUUAAGAAAAAUUUUCUUCUGUUAAGGGGAUCGGUGGCGGACAGUUAUUUUAGCCAAAACAUCCAAUUUUUAUUCCAUCAUACUGAUCGAUAUAGUAAUGCGAUAACAUUUUUGAAAACUAAUCUGAAUUCGUUAUAAUGUCUACUUGAGAUCGGUCAGUUCACAUUUUAAGAUUUCUGAUUUAUAUUCCAAAUAAUCAACGUUUGAAAAUGCCGAAAUUUCAAAAUAUUUAAACUAAAUUUUUAGGUGUUAGGGGGGUGAAAUUGGGGAAAAUAGACCGAUCUCUAGUAGACUUUAUAACGAAUUCAGAUUAGUUUUCAAAAAUGUUAUCGCAUUAUUGGAUCGAUCGGUACGAUGGACCAAAAAUACAUAGUUUUAGUAAAAAAAACACGUUCUGGAUCGUUCAUGCGCGCGACAGUGCGGCAGUGACUUGUACGCGUUACCGCGUGCGGAAGAGUUCCUCCGCCACUACCUAUAUCGCAUGCCACGGUCUGCGAUAGAUAGAUUAUAAAUCGUAAUUAUACUAUUAUAGGUAUUACUACGGUACAAUUAUUAAAUGUAUAAUAACAUAUUUAAUAUCUUGCGUAUAUUGAUAAUUUGGUAUGAAUGAAAUAUAAUAUAAUAAUAUAAUAUGAAAAUAUGAAAUAUUGUUCAUUUGAGCUUCGUCUCACGUCAUCACUACACUUGGACUUGGUAAAAUAGUGUAAAAUAGUAGGAUUUUUACGCACUUUUUAGUCACUUAGAUUUUGUUUUUAUAAAACGUGAUUAGUUUUAUUUAUAAUAAUUUGGUAAAAUGGGAAAUAAAAAACAAAAACUAUCCAAAGUGAAAAAAAAUAGAGGAAAUGUUUCAUCACUUUUAAAUUGGCAAACUCAUCGCAUACAAAAAACAGUAAGUGAUGUACAGCGGUAACAUCGUAUAAUUGUGGACCAAAAUAUAUAAGUAAUUUACAUAAACAAAUUACGAAUACUAGCCCUGGAUUAUUUACAAAACAAUAUAUAAAAAGAGUAGAAAGAUCAAAAUUAAAAUUAAAAUGUAGACGUUUACAUUUCGAAAGGUAUUAUAUAAUAAUUUAAAUUUGAUUAUAUUAAACAGAUGAGGAGGGCUAAAUCUAUAAAUAACUAGUUCUUAUAUAGCUUAUAUAUAGGUACUCUUAGAUUUGUAAAUUGUUAUAUUAUUAUUAUAUACCUAAUAAUAUAAUAUAAUAGUAUUUUUUUUUUAAUUUUUAUUUAAUUAUGCAGUGAAUAAUAUCGUGUUCUCAUUUUUUAAAAAAUAAUUCUAACCAUUUUAUUGCUUAAAAACAAGUAAUAAUACAUUAUAUUAUAUUCAACUGAUAUUUUUUUAAUUAUAAAUUAUAAGAACUUUUCCAAAGCGAACAAAAAUUAUUGACGGACCAGAUGAGAAAUAUGGAGCUGUAAAUGAAUUAGAGUGUACAAUAACUGAUAUGCCACAUGAUAAAUAUUUAAAAAAGGAAAAAAUAUUUUUAAAUAAUUUAAAGUUAACUAUAAAAGAAAUAGAAUAAGUGGAAAGAAGAACUGUAGGACAGCACAAUAAUAAUGAAAAUAUAGGAAAUCACGUCUCACAGCUUUAAAUUUUGGCAAAUUGUGUAAACUUAAGAGCCAGCACUUCUCGAGCAAACACCGUCAAAAAUAUACAUUUUUUAUUUCAAAUCAACAUAAUCUAAUAUUUUAUAUUUUUUUAUAGGUUUUGUAGUUGAUAAAAUAUUAAGAGACGAAGAAUUUUGGAAAAAUAAUAUUGAACCACAAUGCACAAAAUUUUAUAUGGAAUCUUUAGUCCCAGGAAUUAUGGACUCGAGAUUUGAUCGAGGAUUACCUAUAAGAUCUGGUUUACCGGAACCAUAAUAUUUGUAUAUUUGUAUAAUAUUUGUAUUUAUUUUUUUAAUAUACUCUCUAAAUUAAUACA